GACGAACGCUGGCGGCGUGCUUAACACAUGCAAGUCGAGCGGUAAGGCCCUUUCGGGGGUAUACGAGCGGCGAACGGGUGAGUAACACGUGAGCAACCUGCCCUUCUCUUUGGAAUAAGCGUUGGAAACGACGUCUAAUGCCGAAUAUGACCCCCUGUCGCAUGGUGGGGGGUGGAAAGCGCUGGCGGAGAAGGAUGGGCUCGCGGCCUAUCAGCUUGUUGGUGUGGGUAAUGGCCCACCAAGGCGACGACGGGUAGCCGGCCUGAGAGGGUGACCGGCCACACUGGGACUGAGACACGGCCCAGGCUCCUACGGGAGGCAGCAGUGGGGAAUAUUGGACAAUGGGCGAAAGCCUGAUCCAGCAACGCCGCGUGAGGGAUGACGGCCUUCGGGUUGUAAACCUCUUUCAGCAGGGACGAAGCGAGAGUGACGGUACCUGCAGAAGAAGGACCGGCCAACUACGUGCCAGCCGCCGCAGUAA
rnacentral:rRNA from 1 species